rnacentral:rRNA from 1 species
AUUGAACGCUGGCGGCAUGCUUUACACAUGCAAGUCGAACGGUAACAGGUUAAGCUGACGAGUGGCGAACGGGUGAGUAAUGCAUCGGAACGUGCCCGAUCGUGGGGGAUAACGCAGCGAAAGCUGCGCUAAUACCGCAUACGAUCUGAGGAUGAAAGCGGGGGACCGUAAGGCCUCGCGCGAUCGGAGCGGCCGAUGUCAGAUUAGGUAGUUGGUGGGGUAAAGGCACACCAAGCCGACGAUCUGUAGCUGGUCUGAGAGGACGACCAGCCACACUGGGACUGAGACACGGCCCAGACUCCUACGGGAGGCAGCAGUGGGGAAUUUUGGACACUGGGCGAAAGCCUGAUUCAGCAAUGCCGCGUGCAGGAAGAAGGCCUUCGGGUUGUAAACUGCUUUUGUACGGAGCGAAAAGGUCCUUUCUAAUACAAGGGGCUCAUGACGGUACCGUAAGAAUAAGCACCGGCUAACUACGUGCCAGCCGCCGCCGUAA